AAUAUAUAUCCAGAUCAAAUUCCUCCCUGGCUGGUGGAAUGGAUGCCUAGUGAAGGGGGUUAUCUUAUCGGAAACCUGCAGCCAGCUCACAUGGAUUUUCGGUUCUUUUCACUUGGGAACGUUUGGUCCAUUGUAAGCAGUCUUGCUAACAUAGAUCAGUCACAUGCCAUUUUAGAUCUUAUUGAAGCCAAAUGGGAGGAUUUAGUAGCUGAUAUGCCACUGAAGAUAUGUUAU
rnacentral:misc_RNA from 1 species